CGGGAUCUAUACAUCAAACCGAAAUGAACAUUGAGCAAUACUUAUCUUGACCUUAAACGAAUUUUAAAUGUUCAAAACAUCAUAUUGAUGUUGAAAAGAAUAUCCUCAAACACAAUCUUGUAAGUGUGUUAUCAAUUAUGAUUGGCUUCUUAGCUCCAGAACUAGAUAACUGGUAAGGUUUAUGAGCGAAGGCAAUGAAUGAGCGUGGUAACCGUGUG
rnacentral:lncRNA from 1 species